AAAUUGAAGAGUUUGAUCAUGGCUCAGAUUGAACGCUGGCGGCAGGCCUAACACAUGCAAGUCGAACGGUAGCACAGAGAGCUUGCUCUCGGGUGACGAGUGGCGGACGGGUGAGUAAUGUCUGGGAAACUGCCUGAUGGAGGGGGAUAACUACUGGAAACGGUGGCUAAUACCGCAUAACGUCGCAAGACCAAAGAGGGGGACCUUCGGGCCUCUUGCCAUCAGAUGUGCCCAGAUGGGAUUAGCUGGUUGGUGAGGUAACGGCUCACCAAGGCGACGAUCCCUAGCUGGUCUGAGAGGAUGACCAGCCA
rnacentral:rRNA from 1 species